rnacentral:rRNA from 1 species
AUUGAACGCUGGCGGCAUGCCUUACACAUGCAAGUCGAACGGUAACGCGGGGCAACCUGGCGACGAGUGGCGAACGGGUGAGUAAUGCAUCGGAACGUGCCCAGUAGUGGGGGAUAGCCCGGCGAAAGCCGGAUUAAUACCGCAUACGACCUACGGGUGAAAGCGGGGGACUCGCAAGAGCCUCGCGCUAUUGGAGCGGCCGAUGUCAGAUUAGGUAGUUGGUGGGGUAAAAGCCUACCAAGCCGACGAUCUGUAGCUGGUCUGAGAGGACGACCAGCCACACUGGGACUGAGACACGGCCCAGACUCCUACGGGAGGCAGCAGUGGGGAAUUUUGGACAAUGGGCGCAAGCCUGAUCCAGCCAUGCCGCGUGCGGGAAGAAGGCCUUCGGGUUGUAAACCGCUUUUGUCAGGGAAGAAACGCUCUGGGCUAAUACCCUGGGGUAAUGACGGUACCUGAAGAAUAAGCACCGGCUAACUACGUG